rnacentral:rRNA from 1 species
GACGAACGCUGGCGGCGUGCUUAACACAUGCAAGUCACGGGGGGUAGCAAUACUCAACCGGCGAACGGGUGCGUAACACGUGAGCAAUCUGCCGAUCUCUGGGGGAUAGCCGGCCCAACGGCCGGGUAAUACCGCAUACGCUCAUCGAGGGGAGUCCCUUGAUGAGGAAACCUCCGGGGGAGAUCGAGGAGCUCGCGACCUAUCAGCUAGUUGGCGGGGUAAUGGCCCACCAAGGCAUCGACGGGUAGCUGGUCUGAGAGGAUGGCCAGCCGCAUUGGGACUGCGACACGGCCCAGACUCCUACGGGAGGCAGCAGUGGGGAAUAUUGCGCAAUGGACGAAAGUCUGACGCAGCGACGCCGCGUGUGGGAUGAAGCC